GGAUCGAUGAUGACACCCACAAACGCAUUCCUUGGAAAAUCUGAACAAAAUGAGUGAGAACUCACUACCGUCUCCAAUCGCAAACUGAGGUCC
ensembl:snoRNA SNORD116 Small nucleolar RNA SNORD116